ACCUCAAAUCAGGUAGGACUACCCGCUGAACUUAAGCAUAUCAAUAAGCGGAGGAAAAGAAACUAACAAGGAUUCCCCUAGUAACUGCGAGUGAAGCGGGAAAAGCUCAAAUUUAAAAUCUGGCGGUCUUCUGGCUGUCCGAGUUGUAAUCUAGAGAAGUGUUAUCCGCGCUGGACCGUGUA
rnacentral:rRNA from 1 species